UCCGUCUUCCCCGUCUCUCCCAAUCCGCCGCCGCUUCCUCCCUUGUCCCCGUCUCUCCAAUCUUUUUUCUCUCUCUCACCCCGUCGCUUCCGCCGUCUGCAGAUUGAGUGUUUCCAGAAUUCUUCGUCCGCCGUCCCUCCCCGCACCCACGCACGCGGACACCUAUCUUCGUCGCUCGCCUGGUUCUUGUACGAUUCAGGGCGGAGCAGGGGAUCAAUUGAUGUAAGGUUCUGCUUCCAAUCCAUCCAGGCCGCCGGCCAGUCCACCGAGGGGAGAGUCCAGAUUGUCCACGCACAACCCUAGACGCCGCGCGCGUACCAUCUCCGCCGCCUCGCCCAGUUCUUGCUCGCCUCAGCUCGCGGGGAUGGAGCAGGACGGCGCCGCCCGUCCCCUCGCGCCAGGCCUAGGACGACGGCGGCGUGGACGGCUGGGCUCACGACGGCACGGAGGCCUCCCCUACGGCGCCCCGGCGGAGUGCCCCGAGGCCGUAGAUCAUCCUCCUUGCCGCCGCCUCCGCGGCCACGUCUCAGCGGCCGCCUCCGCGCAGCCGCGCUCGUGCGCGACCCUCAACUACGACUCGGUGGGUAGGACCCCUGCGACGGCCUCGCCUAUUCCGGCGACCACAACCACCGCGUCCGCAAGAAAGUCGCAUGGAUUGGGGAUAUGUACCUCGGUUUGGGUUUAAAGGGGCAAUCUUUGAGCAUUUGUAUAUCAACUAUUGAGGAUCUCAAGUUCACAUGGAUCGCACUAUGAUCAAGUGCAUUCUGGUGCUAUGAUGAUUGUAACAGAAGAUGUUAGCGGCAGAAGCAAUCGCUAUGUAUCAGCUCCAAUAUUAAAAUCAGUGCAUGACACAAUUUUUCUCAUCUGGAACUGCGCUUAGAAGGUGUUUGGUCUGAAAGCUACGCUCCUGAAUACAAUGUGAUAUAAAAGGUUCAUGAAAUCAUCAGGAUUUGGACCUCCAUAGGAAAUCUGCAAGGGGAACAACAACAAAGGAAACUGGUGUAAGAUUUAGUACCAAGACUCGAAGAUGAGCUACCAUCAAGAUUAUGUCUCGACAAUCAAGUAUAGUGUCAACACUUAUGAUACCGGCUUGGAUAAUUGCAUUUUGGAACUAGUGUUGUAACCCGUCAUCCCUACCCCAACUGAGACAGGCUUAUUUACCCUUUACCUCCUCUUUGUUUGACACAUGCUUUAGUUGAGCUUCACUAACUUAUUGAAAGGUAUCUUGCUCGUUGCAGGUCGUAGUUGACGAAUUCAAGUACAACCUGCUCCUGAGUUGCAGCUUUUCUAAAUAUACUAUUUUCCAGUUCAUCGUAACUUUGUCAUCCUUUAAAAUUAUCUUACUGGGCAAUAUUUUGAAUCCAGAUUUAUCUGCAAAGGUGCAACAAUGGAGAUUCAAACUAAUGUCGCAUCCUACAAGCAAAAAAGACUACGCUCCAGUUUUUACUCUUACUACUUAUUUUUAUUUCAUGUAGCUACUUGUUCUUGUUUUUGAUUUAGGUUAUUUGCUUCUGCCCUCCCUGUGAUUGCAGAUUUAAUUUAAGCCCAGACCAUGCUGGCAGUGAGUUGGAAUCAGUUAAAAUCGUUACGUUCUCGUUGUCUCUUGCCCACAGCCCUGCUUUGUGUUGUCCUAAUUCAAGUUGCGCCGCCACAAAAUGCUGCUAGUUUAACUGCUGUAAGCUCAACAACAGGAGCACACAGGCGGCCGCUGCAGCUAAGCUCACAUGGAACAUAUGCCCUGUUGCAGCCUCACAGCUGCUGGCACGAGAUGUAUGUGGCGGGGGGUACUUCUGGUGCAGUAAUACCAUUUUGGAGUGCCCCGUGUUUGCAACUAUCCUUAUGUGCAGCCCUUGCUAACAAGGCAUCAGAGAAAAUUAAAGGGACAAACAAAGUGCUGAAAAUAAAAUUUUGCGUCCCAUGUGUUGUUCGGUUGUCCACUGGAGCCAUUCUUUCAUAUGUUGCUCGGUUGCACAGCGCGAGGUAGCAAUGGUAGCUGCGGGUUGAGAGAUGUGGAGAAGAGGGUUCCUCCAGGCUCCAUCCAUGAAUGGUGUGUGUCCAAUGCCUUAGGGUGGCAUGCGGCAAUGUUGGGGACCAGUGAGUAAGAUGGCUGGUGUACAUUCUUUGAAAUAAAGCUGAAGUAAGCCACCACUGUGCCUACUUUGCAGACCAUCUUGGUGUUUCAGCAACAACAACUGCACAUGGUGAGGAACUUAGGAAGCAGACCGCUGCAGCAUACAUCAAAUGCAGCUUGGAGACACAUCAGGUGCAAUCAAUACCAGGAAUUAGGAUUGGUUCUCAUUUGUUUGACCAAAAGUUUGCUGGUAGAUCAGUUUAAGGUACUAUUGUUGGCCUUGCUAGAAUGGCAUGGUUGUCUUCGACACUGCCUUCAAAGGGGUCCUUCAACCUCCAAGGAGAAGGGAACUGAUGUCUGCUAGGGAAAAAAAACUAGGCGAAGCUCUGGAUGCUCGAUCGAGUAAGCACCCACUUAUUAUCACUCUACUUCGUCGGUUGUCCACUGAAGUGUGAGCAGACUAUUCCUCAAAUUUGGUCCAUGACAUCUUGCUUGCCACGUGGUCCCCUUACCUCAAAAUUGACAUAUUAUAAUCUAUGAAGUACUGUUUAGGCAAGGCAUUAUACUGCAAGUAAACUAUAUAACCGAAUGGUUGUCCAAAAAUUCAAAUUUGCACCAUGCAUUCCACCUGAUCUGCCAGUUUAACUAUCUUCUUAAUUGUACCGUAGACAUUUGAUGUGUGGUAGUACGUGUGUGAUGAAGCAUGGUGUAGUAGCAAACUAGCAACUGAAUUUUUUGACAUACCAUGGAUUUCUUUCUGCCUCUAUUUGAUGCUCGGUGGUGUUCAUCCGAAGGUCCGUACUGACCCUGCUCUAGACAUAUGUCUCCCUAAUUUCUGUGUGCAAUUGUGCAAUCCAUGCUUUACACUUAAAAUGAGAUAAUAAAAUUUAGCUCAUGUUGCCCGUCCAUCAUGCACCCAGAAUAUUUUACCUCCCUGCUUUUUAUAUUUUAGUUGGGCAUGUGUUUUCAAGACAGAUCUGUGAUAGUUAAUUUUUUUAUGGUGGCCGCGGCUACUCCCAGUGCCUGCUAAAGAACAGGGCCAGCAAUAGGCAUUUAGAAUACAUGCAAGAAAAUUUAUCUCUAGGUAACUUAUUAGGAUGCAUUUGGUACUUUUCAGCCAUGGCAAAGGCACGGGUUGAGCUGCAUCUUGAUGAGAGGAUCGACUAUUUGUGAUGAUUUAUUAUGGUAGACAAUGGAACUAAGAUUUGGUAAAAAAAUGAUAAUAUGAUAGGUGAUUUAUGAUGUACUAUUUUAAAUAACGAUACUAAGCUUUUAUUCCAUAGAUGACAUUUGGUUAUUCUGCAUUUUUUCCUUUACAAAGAUAGUUAUGAUAAGAGAUAAACAUCAUGUACAGGUUAACUUUUUGUAUGCCUAUUAGCAUGCCUUGCUGCCAAGUGCAAAUAGUCUAUAUGAUGCUCAUAAAUAGAGCUUCCCGGUGGGAAGGAUGAGGCGCGCUCAUUGAUACUUUGGUUUUAUAUCCAUUUGUAAUACAUUUUUUCUCUUCCAAGCAUAUAAACUUUAGCAAAUUAGUGUGUGCAAUCAAGUCUCCUAAGUGAACGGUCUUAUUUCACCAUAUCAUCAAGUUUCAGAGCAUAUAAGAUUAGAGUGUGUCAUGCUAUGUGAAAAUCUCUUUGGAGACCUAAUUUUGUAUUUUUCUAUUUUGUCGGUUAGAAAACCAGUUUCCUGAGUUGUUAGUCUGAGUAUUCGAAUUGAUCCGCAGAGUUCAGGGCUUCUGGAUGGAAGAGUUUCCUACCUCCUCAAAAUCUUAGUACUCUCUACCUAGACUUCAUAAUAAUGCCUGACUUUUUCUGAAGAAUUGUUGAAGUAUGGGUUGUUCGUGCAUUUGCAGUGUUGGAGGUGUUAGUGCAAGAUUGUAGGGUUGGAAAGUAUAGCAAAACGUUAGUUGGUGUAGGGACUUGGUGAAGCCAUCAGACGACUGUGUCUGCUUCCCCGAUGGUUUUGACUUCUGAUGCAUAUUACUUGAUGAUUUAGUCUUUGUGGCAGCUUUCAGUUUGAACUGGCAUUCAGUGGCUUCAUCCUCUUUGGUGCAGCUUGGAGUUAGUGUGCACAUCUGGAUCUUUUAACUUUCCUGAAGCAUAUUACUUGGUUAAUUGGUUUAUGGCGCCUGCUAACUUGCAUGCGAUUUUGAUGGAAUCUGAUCUCAUUUUUUGCUCCCAGUGAAUAUACAAAAGGCUAGAAGUAAAUGAUGGAAGAUCCUUUGGUCUCAAACGGGGGUCGUACUCAACGUUUGUAUAAUAGAUAAUCAAAUUUUGGCCUUCAGCUUGCAAAUUUAUCACCUUACAGGAGAAGUAAAGGUUGCAUGUACUCUGAUUAUCUCCAUAUAUACUUGAAUUGCUUUGGGGUCAUGCUUGGAUUUGUUAGACUACCAUUCUACAUACUGUUCUCGAUGAUUGCACUUGGUUUGUUAAUUUAUGUAUUUUUGUGGUAAGUUCUUUAGGUUCAUCUUAUGGCACAGAAUUAGUUUUUGGCAUACGCAGACUUUGAAAUUUGGUGAUAAAGAAAGAUCACAACUAA